UGGUGGAGAUGUAGCCAUCCAGGCGGACCGUCCCAACUCUCCAGUUUGGUGAGGGGAGGACGGGGGCUGUGGAUGUGGAGGACAGCCGUGUAGCGAUAUGCGCGGAAAAAACCAAGAGGACCCGUUAGAUUAAAAAUAAUGGACGGGGCCGGCGGGACGUCACGAUGCGCCGUCGCCACAAAGCUCAAUACGCCGCUCAUGAACGCGCUCACUUGGUUCCCAGCAUGCCGCACGUCCGGAGGGACCGCUGCUUACCAGGAGCUCAUCCGAGCCCAGUGCAACCCACCCUGCUGCAUCUCAGGAGGAAACAAAACUUAAAGCACCUGAAAUGAAGAUGAGGGCUUCCUCCAACUCCCAGGUGUGUCGGAGGUUGUGUGUGUGUGUGAUGCUGGCAGAGAGCUGUGUUCGCAGGCCUGAGGGGUUGUCUGUUAUCUUUGGUUAUCUAGCUGUAUGAGUGACGUACAUUCUUCAUAAAGCUAGAUAACCGAAAGUAACAAGAAUCCCAUUACACGCCUGCACGGGAGAAGAAAACUAAAUAAAAAAAAGCAGCAGCAGAGAGGAAUGGGCUCGGACAAUGCACGUGAAGAGCUUCUGAUCAGUCUGGAGUUGGGAAUCACCUGAUCUUCGCCUCUCAUCUCUUUGAACUGUGACUUUGAGUCCAGUGAUGUUCAUUUCAGGACUACAUCGUCCACUGACAUACUGGAGGAAAUACACGGAUUCUGUGAAAGCAGCCGUCUCCAACAACUGAACAGCAGACAGAGUUAAAAAUGUCAGGUCUUAAAAGUGGUAAUGGAUACAAAAGGCACUGUUUUCUGAUGCUUCAACAGAACAUCUUUAUCUGAAUGACGACAGAAAGAAACCAGAAGACUUUGAUACAAGUGGACAAACUGACAUUUGGCCGUCAUGAGGCUGAAACUAUGAGAGUAAAGGACGGCAAAGUGGAGUCUGUGUGUGUGUGCAUGUGUGUUUUACACUGUGUUCUUGGGAACUGCUCUGCACAGCUGUUCAGGAAACAUCUGCACUACACAAAUUCAGUCAUUUGAGAUUUAAAAUAUAUUUUUUUUAAAGAAGGGGAAAAAGUUAGAUGACAAAAAUAGUUGCUGUAGUGUUUUGAAUUUGUAGUAUUAUUCAUUAGUUCAACAAUUUAUUCUCCUUUAGAUCAGUAAUUUGUCAUUUCUUCUCACUUAUCUUUUGAAUCCUAUUUGUUUCUAAUUAUUUCAGCUAGCAGUGAAAUUUGUCCAUUUUUCUCAUGUAAAACUUUAGAUGUUUCAGUCAAAUUGUUGACAAUCUGUGUGACUUGAUUACUUGAGACAUUUAAAAUUAUUUUGUUUUAUGGACCUGAUCCAUCAACUAUAAAUUUUAUAUCAGUCCUUGAUGAUCUGACUGUUUUUAGACACAGCACAUUCUUCACAUUUCAUCAUCUCAUAAAUGUAUAUUAGAUUGUUUUGUACAUUUCUGUUUGAAGGCAGUAUAACCUUUGUUCUUCUAGAUAAUUUAUAUAACAUUUUUUCCUAUUUUGUGUACAACAGUAGCUUAAGAUUGGAACAUAAUUUCAUAGCAACUUUUUACACUCUUCAUUAAACUAUUUUUAUUUUCAGUGUAUAUGUUUAAUCAAGAGAGCUACUAUCACUGCAGGAAGUAUUUUUGUGCAAUUAAAACUGCAAUAUGUUUACUUUUUAUCUAUGCAAAAGAAAUGAGUAGGAGGUUUUGUUGGGUUUACACUAUCUGUAUUAGUGUUUGCACAUGAAUUGUGUUGUUACUGUAAGUUUGCUCAUUAAAUGUACAGGUUCAGUUUGUUUCCACAGUCUGAGAGAAAUGUGGUGAAUUGUGAUGUUUUACUAAUAUGCACUAUAUGAGCACAGGUGCAAUGUGUGUGCUAUGUUGCUGUUGAAGUGUGUUUUCUAGUAGAAACAAUGAAUACAGUCCUCGCUAGAAGUGUAGUCUUUCCUUUGGUUUAAUCAGUAAUUACAAUUACUGAUUAAAUCUGGAUUUAUUCCACAUUUCAUUUGUCAAAUCAUCUCCUCUGACAACGUAAUAUUGAAUGCAUAGGAUUUCGUUUUGAUCUAAUGUGGAGAACUUGUGAAUAUGUGCAAUAGAGGCUAUGCAGUUUGAAUACUCUUGAGAGGCAAUGAUAUAAUUGACAAUAUAAUGCACUAUGAUACUGUUUCAGGUGUCUCACAAGCGUGAUUUGCACAUGAGCUGCUGUUAAUGUGCUCGAUCUCUGUACUAUGCAACUGUUUCUACUGCAGUUAAUUUAAUCAAUAAAAGUAUUAAUGUUUACAAUGAGACAA